AUUGAACGCUGGCGGCAGGCUUAACACAUGCAAGUCGAGCGAGCGGCGGACGGGUGAGUAAUGUAUGGGAAACUGCCUGAUGGAGGGGGAUACCUACUGGAAACGGUAGCUAAUACCACAUACCAUCCGAUGAGCCCAGAUGGGAUUAGCUAGUAGGUGGGGUAAUGGCUCACCUAGGCGACGAUCCCUAGCUGGUCUGUGAGGAUGAUCAGCCACACUGGAACUGAGACACGGUCCAGACUCCGACGUGAGGCAGCAGUGGGGAAUAUUGCACAAUGGGCGCAAGCCUGAUGCAGCCAUGCCGCGGGUGUGAAGAAGGCCUUAGGGUUGUAAAGCACUUUCAGCGAGGAGGCGUUACUCGCAGAAGAAGCACCGGCUAACUCCGUGCCAGCAGCCGCGGUAAAUC
rnacentral:rRNA from 1 species